AUAUUUACAACAACUCAUACAACAUAACAAUUUCCCUUUCCAUUCAGCCCAACCCAAUAUAAUAUACGAAUUACACCAACAAACAUGACUCAGCAGCCCAUUUCCUCUCAAUUCCCUGUACUCCAGCGCAAGACCACAACUUACAUAUGCGUAUACGCCUCCAAAUACACGUCUUCUACCUCAUCACCCAACUCGAUAGAAGUAUGCCCAGUGCAACAACCUGCGUUGUCUCGUUCUUGGCUCACUGAAUUAUUUCCACGUCGAGUUUGAAGGAUGCGUGAAUCUAUCUCUACCAUUCACGUUUCUUUGAAUCUGUCCAUUUUGUUGAGAAUUUGGGGAAUUUUCGAUAUCAAUUCAGCAUAUUGCUCAUCCUUAGAGUAAUUUUUGAAUUUCAAAUUCAUUCUCAUCCAUUGGUCUAUCCGAUUUUCCCCCUAUUUCCCCAAAAGUUUUCCUAUAAAAACCCUCUUUUUUUUCUUCAGAUGUGGGGGUUACGGGAAAUAGAUAUAGAAUAGAGGGUUAGAUUUUUGGGAUUCACAAAAAUAGUAGAGUUUUUCAUUCAAAAAUCAACACAGAUCUUAGAGAUAAAAAACAGAGAUUGAAUCUAAAAGGGUUUGAGUCCAAGUUCUACCCGCUGGUUUUGUUUCAUCAUUUUUUAGAGUUUGUUGGAAUUCUUUGGUGGUUGUGGAAGUCGUUUCAAGCUCGUUCUUGUUCUAGUCGCUGCCCUACAUUAGGUCCACUGGACUCCUUUCAUUCCUUCACAUCUCAUGUCGGGUUGAAACCCAACAAUUCCAUUCGAGUCAUCCCUAUCGGCGAGCAGAACCGAAGGCUAAAUUACAGUCUUGAAAGUGAAGAAAUGAACCUGUAUACAUCAGUAUAUGCUUAACAUACAUGGGGAAACAGGCCAUAUACAUUCAGUAUACAAUCAAUGUAUACAACAGCAAAUUGGGCCAAAGGCCCAAACUUUUAGCAGCAGCAAUCCAAAAGGACAAAGGACAGAUUUUCAGGAAAAGAGAAUGGGCUAGAGUCCAUUUGCUUCAGCAGUCAUUUUAAAAUAAAUGGGCCAAAAGCCCACUUAUUUUGAGCUAUUUUGUUAGUUUAGGACACGAUUGAUUUGGGUUAAAAAGGCACAAAAAUGAAGGAAGAAAAGGUCCCUAUGCACUGAUCCAGGUGGAUAGCAACCAGAAUUGGGCCCAAGUUCAUUACUUUUAUUUAUUAAAUUGUAUUAAUUUUUUUGUUUGAUUACUUUAUUUUAAUUCUAAUAUUAUAUGUUUAGAUUAACUUAAUUAAAACUCUUAAAGAGAAGGCAUUUUGUUAUGAUA